AUGAGCGGCAGCGGCUUCUUUUCAUCCCGUCUCCAAGUAGCAGCGUCGGCCACGCUCCAAAUCCAGCAAGUCAAUGACGCAGUGCCGAUUUCAGCCAAGCCGCCGGUGCCCGCAAGUCAGCCAGCGGGUGAGAGCAUCCUCUCUUCAUCCCAUCUCCAAGUAGCGGUCAUUCUGUCUCCUCCCCCAGUCCCCAUCCACAUCGCCACACUGCUGCUCCUCGUUGCCGUGGCAGAGGAAGCUGGUGGCGCUGAACUUGUUGCUGCCGUGCUGCUCCUUGUCGCCAACCGUUGCUAUUUUUUUCUUUGA
rnacentral:rRNA from 1 species